rnacentral:lncRNA from 1 species
GCGUAAAAUAUACAGCCAUGUACACUGCUAGGGGGGAGAAGACUCGCACGAGCGCGGAGCAACAAUUUUGCUUUCGAGUACGUGAUCGAUUUUCGGUGUGUUUGCAUAGUUCACUUUGAAUUGUCUUCCGUAGCAUCACUUUUUCCUCCAUCUUUCCUCGCCGCCGGCGAGCCCCCUGUUUUUUGCUGUCGCGACUGAAAUCGUUUUGAGUUUCUCCUUUUUGCGCGUGUUCCCCGUUUCACACUUCGCCGACAAAACGCUCAAAGAUGGUAUUUGUUGGACGUCUUUGAACUGCGGAAAGAAAAGUGUGUUCUUCCCUCUGGAUGUUUCCACCGGCUUCAGAAAUCCGGGACCACGAGACGUACACAGAGCACUCCGUACCUCAUCCGCAAACGGCGCUCUCCCCGUCCAGUUCACCACACUGCAUCUCUCUCCUUUGCUGCGUCGCCUCGAACUUUCAGCUCCGUGGCGAUCCGUGUCUUUUCUCGUACUCUCCUCGCUUUGGAACCUUUUUCUUUUUCUCUGCGCGAGUGCUCGCGGACGACCGCGGCACAGCAGGUGGUCAUGGCUGUCGCCGGCCGCUUUUCUUGGGUACCCUCCAAUUUUGUUCUUCUUCGCAAUUGUCUCUAGGCACUCUGUCCGUCGCCAAACUUUUCGUCUCCGUGUCUUUUCUUGUUCCCAACUUUCCACAUCGUUCGUCUCCGCUUCUCUGCCUUCCGGGCAAAUCGUAGAGGGCGACCGAUGCCAUCCGAUAAUACACGGCGUCUUCCGGCGGCCGGGCCCUCUCGUUUUUGCGCGCCAUUCUUUGCUGUAAGAUACGGAACGUCGGUAAAGCUUUGUCAUCCCGCGUAAAUUCCGGCCGGGAAUCAAGAACUCCGCGCAUGUCCAGUUUCUCCUUCCGAAACGGACAAAGCCGCCGGAUUCAAGGUUCCCCCCUCCCACAGCCGCUCGGCUCACGCCCUCUCCUCCCAACUCUAUUUUAGCCGGGAACGGAACGGGUUUUCCCGUGCUCGUUUGUCUCAUUCAUCCCAAAAACAUUUCUUCGCGGCUUGAUUUUUUCUUGGCUUCUUGAUAAAAAAAACAAAAAGCGCGGUUCCACAC